GACGAACGCUGGCGGCGUGCUUAACACAUGCAAGUCGAACGAUGAAGCCUAGCUUGCUAGGUGGAUUAGUGGCGAACGGGUGAGUAAUACGUGAGUAACCUACCUUUAACUCUGGGAUAAGCCCGGGAAACUGGGUCUAAUACCGGAUACGACCAAUCUCCGCAUGGGGUGUUGGUGGAAAGCGUUAUGUAGUGGUUAUAGAUGGGCUCACGGCCUAUCAGCUUGUUGGUGAGGUAACGGCUCACCAAGGCGACGACGGGUAGCCGGCCUGAGAGGGUGACCGGCCAAACUGGGAAUGAGAGAAGGCACAGACUCCUACGGGAGGAAGCAGUGGGGAAUAUUGCACAAUGGGCGCAAGCCUGAUGCAGCGACGCCGCGUGAGGGAUGACGGCCUUCGGGUUGUAAACCUCUGUUAGCAGGGAAGAAGAGAGAUUGACGGUACCUGCAGAGAAAGCGCCGGCUAACUACGUG
rnacentral:rRNA from 1 species